GGGCCUAUAGCUCAGCGGUGAGAGCAGCGGACUCAUAAUCCGUUGGUCGACAGUUCAAGUCUGUCUGGGCCCACCA
rnacentral:tRNA from 1 species